GACAAACCGGNGGAAGGNGNAAAAAAAAUAAAGUCAUCAUGGCCUUUAUGACCNGGGCAACACACGUGGUACAAUGGUAAGUACAGAGGGAAGCCAACUCGCGAGAGGGAGCUAAUCCCAGAAAACUNAUNGUAGUCCGGAUUGGAGUCUGCAACUCGACUCCAUGAAGUCGGAAUCGCUAGUAAUCGCAGAUCAGCAUUGCUGCGGUGAANACGUUCCCCGGGUNUUGUACACACCGCCCGUCACACCAUGGAAGUGUAUUG
rnacentral:rRNA from 1 species